rnacentral:rRNA from 1 species
GACGAACGCUGGCGGCGUGCUUAACACAUGCAAGUCGAACGGAAAGGCCCUGCUUUUGUGGGGUGCUCGAGUGGCGAACGGGUGAGUAACACGUGAGUAACCUGCCUUAGACAUUGGGAUAGCCUCGGGAAACCGGGAUUAAUACCAAAUAAAAUCAUAAUGACACAUGUCAUAACGAUCAAAACUCCGGUGGUCUAAGAUGGACUUGCGUCCCAUUAGCUAGUUGGUAGAGUAAAAGCCUACCAAGGCGACGAUGGGUAGCCGGCCUGAGAGGGUGAACGGCCACAUUGGAACUGAGAAACGGUCCAAACUCCUACGGGAGGCAGCAGUGGGGAAUAUUGCACAAUGGAGGGAACUCUGAUGCAGCGACGCCGCGUGAACGAAGAAGGCUUUCGAGUCGUAAAGUUCUUUUAUAUGGGAAGAUAAUGACGGUACCAUAAGAAAAAGCCCCGGCUAACUACGUG